AGUGGGAUAGUUGGGUCAACGGAAAUGGUGGUUCCGUUCCUAAUUUUUUGAGGAAUCUCCAUACUUCUUUCCAGAGUGGUUGCACCAAUUUGCAGUCCCACCAGCAAU
rnacentral:pre_miRNA from 1 species